rnacentral:rRNA from 1 species
UACGUAGGGGGCAAGGCGUUGUCCGGAUUUAUUGGGCGUAAAGAGCGUGUAGGCGGCCAUACAGGUCCGUUGUGAAAACUGGAGGCUUAACCUCCAGACGUCGAUGGAAACCGUAUGGCUAGAGUCCGGAAGAGGAGAGUGGAAUUCCUGGUGUAGCGGUGAAAUGCGCAGAUAUCAGGAAGAACACCCGUGGCGAAGGCGGCUCUCUGGGACGGUACUGACGCUGAGACGCGAAAGCGUGGGGAGCAAACAGG